AAACCACACGGGGUGAGAACUACAAAAAUAUAGUUCCCAGUGGGUUCGGCCGCCGACUCCGCCGAUCUUCCCACUAGGUCUAAGCUGGCACAGAUAGAUAGAUAGAUAGAUAGAUAGAUAUUGAACUGCAACUAUGAUCUAUUGUGCCAUCAGAUGCAAGCAAUGCAUGAAUAUCAACUAGCAAUAAGCCUACUAUCAUGAUAAUAUGCUUCAACGAUGUAAUGAAUACAAAUACGACAUAGUUAGGCAAUCCACUAACAUAUACUAUGUCUAAUCAGGGUAUGAAUGCAAAUCCACUUAUGCUAUUCAUGUCAUUACCCAAUCCACUAGGCUACCCCGCCUAAGAUCUCAACCACAUAGGUGAAGGACUACCCCGCCCUUGUCUCACCCGUCUCACAACUCUAAUGCUACGGUAAAGAGCUACCCCGCUCUUCGCCCCAACUCUAACUCAAACUCAUAGGUCAAGAGCUACCCCGCUCGUAGGUAAAGAGCUACCCCGCUCCUAGGUAAAGAGCUACCCCGCUCAUAGGUAAAGAGCUACCCCGCUCAUAGGUAAAGAGCUACCCCGCUCAAAUCUCACAGGUGAAGAGCUACCCCGCCCUUCGCCCGACUCACUUCCCAGUCCAAUGGGUGGGGAGCUACCCCGCUCGUAUCCCACCCGAUGAGCUACCCCGCUCGUGAGCUACCCAGCUCGUGUGACAACUCCGGAGUGCACUGCUUGUGGGGAGCGACCGCCACAAGCCCAAAACAGACUAUGUGAGUAUGAUCCAAUCCUCGCCAACUGAGGAUACCCUGUCAACUAGGGUUAACAAGCACUCGAAAGUCCACCUAUCCCUAGGUCCAUGUCACGUGUCUCAACCAUAUCAAAUCUCAAUGCCACUUACCUAGGUCUAAGCAACUCUAGGUUCCACAACAGUAGGUUUAAUGUCAACCUAUGUUUAACAACAUUAUAUUAAUGCCACUCGAUCUAUCCUAGGUUCACGACACUAGGUUUAGAUGCCACAUAAUCUCCAUAAUUAACAAUAGGUUAACAUUCAUUUCAUCUAGCAUAUAUGUUCUAUAGAGCCAACAUACAUCAUAAUGCUAAUAUGCCAUUAUCAACUAGCAUGCAAUCCAUUCAUAAUGCUACAUGCAUACAAUCUCCAUUACUCUAGUUCACAUGUCACUAGUUUCAUUAUCAAGUCCAAGUUCUUUAUUCUCUUAUCAUCAUAGGAUCUCAUGUCUCAACCUUAAUCAUCAUGCAUUCUAGAUUUUAAGUGUCAAGUCUAUAAUACUACACAACUAGACAUGCAUGCAAGAAAAUAGAAAUAUAACUAUACAUAUAUCCUAUAAUGCAUAAGAACCAUAUAUAUGAAAUAUGAUCAACUAUUUUACUCGGACAUAGAAGGAAGCCCGAUUGCUUCGGAAGACACCCCCCACCUUUUUACAGCGUUCCGAUUGCUCGUCGUCACUCGCAAUCGGCCUCCCGCGGCGCACGCCGCUCGGCUCGACCCUAUUCACGCGCGACCACCGAACGACCUCCGCUUCGCGAUCCGAGAAUUAUAGGUCUUCGGUUUUCUGUUACGAUGCUCGGGAUCCAAUCCCACGAUUUAUGGAAGCCGCCUCGACUCCCCAGGUCAAUACGAACUCACGAACACUUGAUUCAGCCGGAACGUCGCACCCGCUCGACGAAUCGACGAACCGUCGCUUCCUACGCGUUCGGAGACAUAACAAUUAAGUUUCUGACCACUCAAAAUAGAUCAAACCCAACUACUUACAAAAACCCCAUUUUUAACCCUAGGUUUGCAAUUAGAUAAAAAUCCACCAUUAGGGCUUUGGAUUUAAGCUUUAAUCAUCUACUUAGCAUCAAAGAGGUCCACUAAAUCCAUUUAUAAGGAUUAAAACCCAAGCUCUAGUAAUCUAC
rnacentral:lncRNA from 1 species